UACGUAGGGUGCAAGCGUUGUCCGGAAUUAUUGGGCGUAAAGAGCUCGUAGGCGGUCUGUCGCGUCGGCUGUGAAAUCCCGAGGCUCAACCUCGGGUCUGCAGUCGAUACGGGCAGACUGGAGUGCGGUAGGGGAGAAUGGAAUUCCUGGUGUAGCGGUGGAAUGCGCAGAUAUCAGGAGGAACACCGAUGGCGAAGGCAGUUCUCUGGGCCGAUACUGACGCUGAGGAGCGAAAGCGUGGGGAGCGAACAGG
rnacentral:rRNA from 1 species